UAUGGUAAAAUCUUUACGUUUCGUAUAAUUCGCGUGGUAUGGUGCGAAUGUCUCUACCCCAAACCGAUACUUUUGGGACUACGGAACUAAUCAUUUUAUUA
rnacentral:ncRNA from 2 species